CCCUUAGAUGUUCUGGGCCGCACGCGCGCUACACUGAUGAACGCAACGAGACCACCUGUGCCGAAAGGCAUGGGUAAACUUGUGAAAGUUCAUCGUGAUGGGGAUAGAUUAUUGCAAUUAUUAAUCUUCAACGAGGAAUUCCUAGUAAGCGCGAGUCAUCAGCUCGCGUUGAUUACGUCCCUGCCCUUUGUACACACCGCCCGUCGCUCCUACCGAUUGAAUGGUCCGGUGAAAUCUUCGGAUUGCUGGAUAGGACUUCAUUGACCUAUCUGCGAGAAGUUGCUUGAACCUUNUNAUUUAUNGGAAGGAGAANUCGUANCA
rnacentral:rRNA from 1 species